rnacentral:snRNA from 1 species
AGCUUUGUGCAGUGGCAGAAUCGUAGCCAAUGAGGUUUAUCCGAGGCACAAUUAUUGCUAAUUGAAAAUCAAUAUCAUAUGUUCAAAAUGUAACCAUAUCAACUAUAUAUUGGUUUCUAGUUUUCAUUAUGAAUUACUGCUUUAAAUACAGU